CGGUGGAGUUCGAGGCAAAGAAGAUUGGGUUCCCAUCUACAUGGCUCCACCUAUCCUGCCCCCACAGCAACACCAGCUCCUGCCCCCACAACAACCAACAAUCAGUCCGAACAAUCCCUUCUACGGACAAUCUCAAGGGGCCUGAAACCACCUUUGAAAAUGUCAUUUAAAUGGCCUUUGGAGAAGGCCUGACGAGACCCAUCCUAGCCCAGGCCACUGGGCCAAAGACUGUCCAGAAACACCAAGAGAGGGGGGCGGAGGAAACCGUCGCGAGGGCUGGCAGGACAACGAACAAGUUCCCUAUGCCUCGGACUGACCGUCAGACAGAGUAGUUGCACAAGUGGCAGAACUGGUGGCCCUGACUGAAGCCUGCAAAAGGCAAAACUGUUACCAUCUACACAGACUCUCGCUACGCCUUUGGUGUUGUGCAUGAUUUUGGAGCCUUUUGGAAACAUCGCAAAUUUCUCAAAUCAGAUGGUAAACCCAUUUUACACCAUCACAAACUUGCAGCCUUGUUAGAAGCCAUCCUCCUACCAGCUAGUAUUGCUGUUUGCAAAUGUACUGCACACACCUCUGCCCGAGAUCCAGUGUCUCUAGGUAACGCUCGAGCAGAUUCAGCUGCCUCCACUUCUCACACUUCUUAUCUACACACUCCCUGGUCUCAAAACAGCUGCCUCUUCUCUGCGGGUGUAUGGAGAGGUUCAGAUGAUAAACCUUGUCUCCCUCGUAGACUGUUUAUGACCUAUUGUAAGUUGGCCCAUGGCCUAGACCAUGUGUCAAAAGGAGGGAUAUGUGCUAUAGUUCAAAAACAUUGGUUCACAAAAGGAUUUUUUACAUUUGCCGCUGAUUUUUGUAAAAACUGUUUGAUAUGUGCCCAAAAUAAUCCAGGUAGGACCAAACCUCUGACACAUCAAGCUGCACACUCAGCACCAGACAGACCCUUUCAACAUGUCAUGAUGGAUUUCAUCGAACUAACCCCUACUGAGGGUAAAAGGUACUGUCUGGAACUGGUAGACAUGUUUUCCAAAUGGGUAGAAGCUUUUCCAGCCAAACAUGCCACCGUGUCAGUAGUAGCGAAAGCCUUACUAACAGAAAUCAUUCCCCGGUGAGGAAUCCCUGAAAAACUGUCCUCAGAAAAUGGCUCACAUUUUGUCAACGAAGCCAUACAACAGCUUUCCACACAGUUGCGUUUUGAAUUGAAAACUCAUUGUUCUUAUGACCCACAGUCAGGUGGCGCUGUCGAAAGACAGAACCAUACUUUGAAACAGAAACUGGUAAAGUGUUGUCAAGAAACAAAACUCAGUUGGCCCAGGUGUCUGCCUAUUGUCCUGAUGUACAUGAAAAUACGAGUGCGCCUGCGAUGCAACCUCUCUCCCUUUGAGAUACUCUUUGCAGGUACACUAAAUGUCGGCGUGGGACCUCCAGGACCUCCCAUGGACACCGCCCUCUGCGAGGCGAGCAUGGUAAGUUACUGCAUAUCCUUAACAAAAUGUCUUUCUGACAUCAGAGCACAGGUGAAGGAGACACUCCCACCCUCGGCUGACACGCUGCUCCACGACCUGAAACCUGGUGAUUACGUGGUCAAGAACUUCAGGAGGAAGUCCUGGCAGCAUCAGCGUUGGCUUGGACCUUUCCAGAUCCUCCCCACCACUCACACGGCUGUGAAAGUUGCUGAGAGAGCCACCUGGACACAUGCCACCCACUGCAGACGAGUCCCGGAUCUGACAACUCCACCAACUGACCCUGACACCUCUGGAUAGAUCCUCUGCUCCAGCUGCCAUCACACCUGUCAUUGACUGAGAGACAGAUAGAUCCUCUGCUCCGGAUGCCAUCACACCUGUCAUUGACUGAGAGACAGAUAGAUCCUCUGCUCCGGAUGCCAUCACACCUGUCAUUGACUGAGAGACAGAACAACAUGGACAGACCCCGCCCCUGGCAUCCGUUUCAAAACCACCCAGGCCUGUGUGGUGCCAGAGGCACAACAUGUAUACUUUUUAUGAUUGUAAUGAUCAUUAUUGCUCCGUGGCUCUGGUAUGAACUACAGACCUCCAGACUCCUAAAACCACCCCCACUCAACAUCUCCAAAAGAGAAACGACUUAUCACACCAACUCUUGGUAUCAGGCUCUAGUGCUUUCAGUGCGCCGCCUCAACAUCUCAGACUCCUGUAUAAUUUUUACGUUAUUCUGGUUGAUUAUCUGUAAUCAAAAGGGGGGAAUUAUAGUGGAAAAAUACUAUCUGUCUGUCAUCUUCGUUUGAACUUAAAAGAUUCAGAUGUUCGUGCGUCAUUUAGCAAUUACAAACUGUUUCUCUGCAUGGCCUUGGUCUGUAUCUCCAACAGGAACUCCCCUCAGUAUCUGGGUACAGCAUGAUCCUAAAUCAGUGCCCCCCGAACAAAGGAGUUUCUGUUGGUGUUAGAUAAAUCACCAGGCAAACUAGCAGAAGGCGUAGUCACUAGGGCAAGCUGAAACCAAUGACGAUGUUUUACUCAUGUAUAUGUAAUAUACCUACACCCCGUGAAA